GACGAAGGGGGCUAGCGUUGUUCGGAAUUACUGGGCGUAAAGCGCACGUAGGCGGCUAUUUAAGUCAGAGGUGAAAGCCCGGGGCUCAACCCCGGAACUGCCUUUGAAACUAGGUAGCUAGAAUCUUGGAGAGGUCAGUGGAAUUCCGAGUGUAGAGGUGAAAUUCGUAGAUAUUCGGAAGAACACCAGUGGCGAAGGCGACUGACUGGACAAGUAUUGACGCUGAGGUGCGAAAGCGUGGGGAGCAAACAGG
rnacentral:rRNA from 1 species